GCACUGAUGAAGAGUCCCAGACUAGGACGAAACGGCUGUAUAGUAC
rnacentral:hammerhead_ribozyme from 1 species